rnacentral:rRNA from 1 species
AUGACUCAUAGCAUAGAGUUUGAGCAAGGAAGGUUUGCAGGGUCUACCCUUCAGGUGAUUGGCAUAACAGAGGGUUUGGAAAGUGGCCAGUGGUCCAUUGUCGGUGGGACUGGUCAGUUCAUUAUGGCACAGGGUAUAAUAAGUUUCACAAAUCAUCCUGCCUCUACUUGGGAAGAUGGUAUUAAAGAACUUAAUAUCCGUGUACGCUACACGACUCCACAACCUGUAAUACAGCUAUGGCUCCGGCUCUCAAUAACUUACCAAAGAUUGCUGAGACCAUCUGAGAUACAUGGCGUUUUAAGCCGGUUAAUUUGGCGGUUGUUUCUGAAAGAGCCGCCUCAGCCUUCUCAGCCCGGUUGA